rnacentral:lncRNA from 1 species
UUGUUUAUUCAUCAUGUGUCUCCUAUGAAUCAUGCAUGAUUAGAUCUGAUUCUACGAUUCUGAUACCAUAUUUAUUCUUCAAUAGUCAAUAUGUCCAUUGGCAGGUGAUAGUACACCAUAACCUUGUUGAUUAAAGGUUGUAAAAUUUUAUUCUGUUUAUUGUUGAAGCUAAUAAAUUAUGACUGAUGUAAAUGUAACUAACUUAUAUUGGAUGAUCUUGCAUUCGUAUAAUGCUUGUAAACAAAAGAUGGACUUCAGAUUGGGCGCUAAACAUGUGAAAAAGGUUAGGGGAUAAUCUUGUAAAGGUGAAUCGAUCAUUUUCAAGGUAAGUUUUCACACAAAGCAUUUGUUGGGACUUAGUAUAUGUGUUCAUGAUAUCGUGUGUAAAAUAGAAUUUACAAAACCAAGAUAUGUUGUAUUUCUCUUAUUUAUCAUUAAUUUAGAAUAGAUUUAGUACAUUGCAUUUGACAAAAGUGUAAGAAGUAAGAAAAUGAUUCUUUUGGGGGAAGACAAAGGAGGUAAUUUGUCCAAAUAAAAAGUACCUAAGCAUGAUGGUGAAAUUUUCAUUAGAAGUCCUACAAUUUUGCUAAUUUAUUAAUCCUGCAAUUUACAUUUUUAGUUUUCUUUUGACCAUUCUAAGAAAUCUGCACCUGCUGCAACCCCACGAUA